UCCAGGGUAGCCUAGUGGACAUGGCAUCUGCCCGUUAAGCGGAAGGUUGUGGGUUCGAUUCCCGCCCCUGGAC